rnacentral:rRNA from 1 species
GCUUGGACUAGAUGACGACCGGCGCACGGGUGCGUAACGCGUAUAGAACCUACCUUUUACAGAGGGAUAGCCUUUAGAAAUGAAGAUUAAUACCUCAUAGAAUUAAAUUUUGGCAUCGUUAUUUAAUUAAAGAUUUAUCGGUAAAAGAUGGCUAUGCGUCCUAUUAGCUAGAUGGUAAGGUAACGGCUUACCAUGGCAAUGAUAGGUAGGGGUCCUGAGAGGGAGAUCCCCCACACUGGUACUGAGACACGGACCAGACUCCUACGGGAGGCAGCAGUGAGGAAUAUUGGUCAAUGGAGGUAACUCUGAACCAGCCAUGCCGCGUGCAGGAAGACUGCCCUAUGGGUUGUAAACUGCUUUUAUACAGGAAGAAACACUCCCACGUGUGGGAAUUUGACGGUACUGUAAGAAUAAGCACCGGCUAACUCCGUGCCAGCAGCCGCGGUAAUACGGAGGGUGCAAGCGUUAUCCGGAAUCAUUGGGUUUAAAGGGUCCGCAGGCGGUCAAUUAAGUCAGAGGUGAAAUCCCGCAGCUUAACUGUGGAACUGCCUUUGAUACUGGUUGACUUGAGUUAUAUGGAAGUAGAUAGAAUGUGUAGUGUAGCGGUGAAAUGCAUAGAUAUUACACAGAAUACCGAUUGCGAAGGCAGUCUACUACGUAUAUACUGACGCUCAUGGACGAAAGCGUGGGGGAGCGAACAGGAUUAGAUACCCUGGUAGUCCACGCCGUAAACGAUGGACACUAGUUGUUGGAUUAUUUCAGUGACUAAGCGAAAGUGAUAAGUGUCCCACCUGGGGAG